UAGUUCAACAAAUAAAGUGCGUCACAGAAGAAGCUUUGUCUUCCUCCUGUUUUUUGCUGUGAUCACUAAUUACAAUUGUAAGUACAGCCCACCCUGUCCACAAUUCCCCACCGGUCCAUAAGAUUGAGCCCAUUUGAAUCUAAGCUGUCUCCUUAGAAGCCUAGACCAUAGUGGGCUUGUUAAAUUUGGCUUUGAAAUAAUUUCAACGGGAAUCCAAAGAAUUGAUUUUGGAAAAUUUUACAAAACAGAGUCAAUGUAAUUCAUUUUAAAUCGAACAUAACAAAUAAUUUGAAGAGUGUUACAAAUUCCAUUUGUAACUGGUCAGAAGCAGAGUAGCUCUAUUUAUUUGUGUGGAAAAUUUGGCAAUCGGUUUCUGUAUCACGCAUCUAAUGGGGCUUAAUGCAAUACAGUGAAACAUGAAAAUGUAU